rnacentral:rRNA from 1 species
UACGUAGGGUGCAAGCGUUAUCCGGAAUUAUUGGGCGUAAAGAGCUCGUAGGCGGUUUGUUGCGUCGGCUGUGAAAUCCCGAGGCUCAACCUCGGGUCUGCAGUCGAUACGGGCGGACUUGAGUACUGCAGGGGAGACUGGAAUUCCUGGUGUAGCGGUGAAAUGCGCAGAUAUCAGGAGGAACACCGGUGGCGAAGGCGGGUCUCUGGGCAGUAACUGACGCUGGAGGAGCGAAAGCGUGGGGAGCGAACAGG